rnacentral:rRNA from 1 species
AGCAGCCGCGGUAAUUCCAGCUCCAAUAGCGUAUAUUAAAGUUGUUGCAGUUAAAAAGCUCGUAGUUGAAUUUCGGGGUUAGUAGGUUGGUCAUGCCUCUGGUAUGUACUGGUCUCACUGAUUCCUCCUUCCUGAUGAACCUUAAUGCCAUUAAUUUGGUGUUUUGGGGAAUUUGGACUGUUACUUUGAAAAAAUUAGAGUGUUUAAAGCAAGCUAACGCUUGAAUACAUUAGCAUGGAAUAAUGAAAUAGGACGUUCGAUCCUAUUUUGUUGGUUUCUAGGAUUGACGUAAUGAUUAAUAGGGAUAGUUGGGGGCAUUAGUAUUCAAUUGUCAGAGGUGAAAUUCUUGGAUUUAUUGAAGACUAACUACUGCGAAAGCAUUUGCCAAGGAUGUUUUCAUUAAUCAAGAACGAAAGUUAGGGGAUCGAAGACGAUCAGAUACCGUCGUAGUCUUAACCAUAAACUA